rnacentral:lncRNA from 1 species
GUCGCGAUAAAUGCUGGCGGCAUUUGUGUUGUAUUUGGUCACGAUAUCCGUUUCUUUAGGGAUCCCGUAUUGGGAGAGGAACGUGUUGAGGCGUUCGUUGCCGCCAGCUUCCAUUUUCUUGAUCUGGAUCUCGGACCAGGAGUCCAUGGUAACGGAUCGGACAAAGGAGAUGUGGACACCGAGGCCGCGGUGCUUGCCGGAGCACUCUAAGCACAUGAAGACGCCGUAGGAAACAGAGGCCCAUUGAGGAUUCUUUUGGGCGCAAUCGACGCAGAUCUUGUUACCUGGCUGUGAUUGGAGAUCUCGUAACCGCCUCGUUGCCGCCAUUUUUUACGGUCCGAUCCGAUCGAUCUGUAUCGGAUUCACUCAAAAUCGAAU